GACGGGCGUUGAGAAACUUUAUAUGAAGUAUGCGUUUAUUAUACUGCGGGCUCAAGAACAAACGUUGUCGUGACGUUUUGAGAGAACUGAGUUGUUUAAAAGGAAAUUGGUCGUUUUGGACGCUGUUUUGGACGCUUUUGGAUCGCGAAAACUUGUUAUUAUUGUCGAUUUUGUAUUGUUCUGUUGGCUGGCUUGAAUCAAGAAGAUUUGACUGUUUUUGAACGGUAAAAAUGAGCAUAAUUUGACUGAUUUAUUUCCGUAUAUGUGACGGUCGUAAUAUUUUAACUUAGACAGUCUCAGUUUAUUCAUUUAUGUAUUGUGUAAGGUUAAUAGGUAUGUUUUAGUAUUUCUGUAUUAUUUCGCUUUGUAAGUUUAUGAAUAUUUGUCUUUUUAGCGUGAAAAAUAAAACCGUUCGUUAUUGUGAGUGGUGUGUACUUCAUGUAACAUUUAAUAUACAGUCCCCAAAUACAAGUAUUGAAGGUGCGUGGGUUGGUCGUCAACAAACAUUGAAACGAGGCCCAUAGGCGUGAACAUUUUGGUCCUUCGAGCCGGAUCAGAGCAAAACUAGACAGAACUGAGAAACUGUGGGACAUAAUUUUGGAAUAAAAUAAUGUCUGUAGCCGAAAAUACAAGAUCACGAAAGGAUAAAAGAUCUCAAAAGGAUGACAUAGAUCAUGAGGAAGUCCCAGAAACAAGCCAAAUCCCUCAAGCCGAUCAGAACAUUGAGAAGGUAGACAGUUCAAGACAUGUUAGAGAAGACCCAUCAACCCCCCUCUCCAAAGCAAUCAAAGGCAUUCGCUUCAAGAGACGUGUUGCAAUAGGGAUGAUCACCAGAUAUAUUAAUGCGACCAACAAAAUGAUGGAAGAAAAACGUAGUCGGACUGCUAUAAAGAGAAAUCUACAUGACAUCCAAACUAAAUUUAAAGAAGUUGUAGCCUACAAUGACCAGCUCGAAAAGUAUCUUGAAGGGGAUGAAGAAAUACUCGCGGACAUGUAUAUCCUCACUGACUUAACAGUCGACGUAAAUUGCAUAACUGGCAUGGUACAGGAACAUCUACAAGACCGAACCGGUGAGACCUCGACAUACAUCGGUUCAGAGACUAGUUCACAGCACAUUAGUCCACCCCCCGAGCCCCAAGUGGAAGGUGAUGAUCAAGAUGAAACUGACAAGCAGAAACUGGAAGAACUUGAAGCUGAACAGAAGAGAAAAGAUGAAGCAGCCUACCUAUCAGAAUUAGCCCAGCAGAAAAGAACCGAAGCUGCUCGACUCGAAUUAGAAGCAGAGGAAGCUGAAAGACAGUCAGAAGCCAUUGGAGGUGGGUGUAACCAGUCCGGACAAAAACUGCCUGCAAACCUGCCAACACAGCCAGAGAUAUGCGGUAAAGAAAAGGCUGCACUUUAUGUACAACACCUCGAACAAGUCCAGACACAGGGAGCCCAAUCUGAAAAUGCCAGUGAAGAAGAUUGGAUCGUUGGAUUUCGAAAGACACUGAAAGUUAAUGUUCGAUCAGUGGACCCUGGAAAAAUCCCCGUAAGAGCAGAUGUGCCUAUUUAUAAUGGCGAUCCAUUGAAGGGGUUGUCCUGGAGUGGUCUCUUCAAAGCGCUUGUACACAAUACGAAGAUGACCUCGGAAGCCAAGAUGGGAUUCCUUCACACAAAGCUUUCUAAAGAAUGUGACCAAGUGAUUGCAGGUCUAUUCCCAGAUGACGAAGGAUAUGCCGAAGCCCUAAUGCUAUUACGGGAUAGAUAUGGUCAUCCAACUACGCUACAAGCAGCUCAUCUACAAGUAUUGAAAUCGCUACCUGCUGUCGAUCCUGGAGACCCGGACAGUUUAGCAAUUAGUUUCCAGACCUUCGUUGAUCAAGCGAGAAGUCACCUUGCUGUACUAAAACGAUAUAGUAUGGGAGAAUCUCC